UUCGAUCAACAAGGAAUCUGAACCUAUCGCAAUACAACUCAAUAGAAUAGAAUGACGGUGAUAUAUAAGAAAAAAACACCAAGAAAAAUUUAGUAUUACCCAAGGUAAUGUUUGUUUGCAGGGAAUAGUAUGAACAAUUGAAGGAAACUCAGACAUUUUUUCCUUUAUAUAUAUUUUGUUAGAGGAAUGUUGAUUUUUUUUUUUUUUUUUUUUUGCAUUUUUCUGCACUUUCCUCCAUUUUUUUGCCUUGUGAAAAAUUUAACGGAUUUUGUAGAAAAAUAAUUGAUUACUCACAAAAUUUGAAUAACUGCUAUUAAUUGUCACUAGUUACUCAUGUUCUCUCUUUAUAUUUUUCUCGAUAACAGAUUACGUAUAAAGAAAAAUAAAAGGAAGUAAAUAUUAAUUUGCGAUAUACUAGAAAGCCAAGUUAUUGAGAAUCUGUAACGCAUUCAAUUUGGGACACGACUCACUAGAACAUGAAUACUGCAAAAAAAAAAAGAACACUCUUGUUAACUUUGCUGAGCUUGGGUUUUAUCCCAAUAACAGUUGAUGGAAUAAAAUUCAAGUCCAACAAACUUAUGAUUAUUAUUGUUGCCUUUUCUUACAAAAAAAAAAAAAAGAAUAUUGCAAGGAUUGAUUUUGCUAUAAAAAUAAAACAAAAAAAAAGAAUAUCGAAGACAUUUGACUCAAUCUUUUAUCUUUGUUAUUUUUAGACAUGAACAAUCCAGGGCCCCAAUAUGACCACACGAGUAUCCACUAUCCAGUUCAGGUAACAAAAAAUCUGUAUUAGUGGGCAUUGGCCUGCUCUAAUCUAUCGGCAGAAGCGUGCUAUUUUUAGAUGUCUCGGCCCAGCAAUGAGGAGGCUAACACGCUACCCACCAUUGCAGCUUAGGACUUAAAGACGUAAAAGUAAAACAGAGGCUCAGAUUAACCAACCUAUAUAGCAAUUCAAGAGUAUAAACUGUCUGGUUCACUUAUCAAAGGACUAGCAUCAAAUGACAAACUAAAGUUAAGUUGCUUAGAACUAGGGCCGUAAAUGAGCCGAGUCGAGUCGAGUUUUGGCCUAAUCGAGUCGAGUCUUGACUUAGUUUUAUUAAACUCGAACUCGAGUUCGAACUCGACGAGUUGACAAUUUAAAACUCGAGCUCGAAAAAAUUAAAAAUAAUUAUUUAAAAAAAAAUAAAAAAAAUAUUUUUCUUAAUAAAUAAUAAAAUAUCAAGGAUAUAUAUGUAAUUUUACUAUUAUAUAUAUUUAUAUAUACACACACACACACACUUGAGCUCGUGAGCCGGCUCGCAAGUAACGAGUUUAAUAUUUUGAGCUCGAGUUCGAUCUCGAAUUUGACUCGAGCUCGAGCUUGAUAUUGAUUGAGCUCGAAUCGAACUUGACUUGAGCCGCUCGUGAGCGGUUCGAUUCGUUUGCAGCCCUACUUAGAACAUGCACUAAAGAAAGCUUAAUUUUUGUAUUUGUCCAGAAACAGAGCACUCCAAAGUAAAGUGUAGACUGGCCUGUCAAAGCAUUCUAGUAAAACAGUAUGAACCAGGCAACACAUACUCUAUAAUCUAGUCUAGUAACAGGAUAAUGAUUUUCAAGCCUGUUACAGAAAUGUAUUUCAAGAUUCAAUGAACUCUAAUGAAACCAGGUGUCUUGGUACUGUAUGUCUUAAUUCUGACCAUUGCGUACUUGUAAUGACCAUUCCCUUUAGCAUCACAGCCUAGCUGAGAAGGCAUGUAGUGGGAUGUUAUGGCUCAACUCCAUUCACUCAAGAUUGAGGAGAAAAUCCACACAAGCCCUACUUAAUUACCUAAAUUUGGCUUGGACUCAUGAUUAGCAAUCUCGGCCUUGUUCGAUACGACUCAGCUGAGUCACAGAAUGGAGGGGACCGUUAUGAUACCGAUCUCCGAAUCAUGGAUAAUUUUAUAUCUCCGACGACUCGCUCUGAUUCGACUAAUAUUUGCCGAUUUGAAUCCGUGAUGCAUGGAAUCGGUUAAAAUAUCUGAGUCCACUCGAAGUCAAUUCAGAUAUUUUUUCAGAUUGUGCCUUUUAUGAUAUUUUCUAUUUUUAAUAAUUUUUUCAAAACUUUUGAAAUUUUUUAUGUGCUAUAAUGUGUGUAUCACUUGAUAUCCAAUUGAUAUGCCGUGACGAAUGUGGAACAACUACUAUCGUGACGUGAUCGCGAUCCACCAUGGUGAACCAUGCUUGGACUAGUAUUUUGCAAGUAAUUAUUUAUUUCCAAAAAUGUCAAAUAUCAUAAAUCUAGUAGUUUGCAAAAGUUGGAUCAAUUUCACUAUCUCAAUAAUGACCGACUCUCCUCCAAGGAAAAAAUUCAUUAAGACCAAUGCACAGAAGCCCAGAAAAACAAGAAAGAAACAGGAACUGAAAAGAUAGGAACCAAAACUCAAUAACAGCAUGCAUCCACAAAUAGUGGUCGAAUAAUAUCCAUAGCACCACUUCUUUUUAACAUCAAAUCCUCAGCAAAAAUAUCAAUAGAAGUCAGGCAUCAUUAGCUUUAAUACCAAUUAAGUUAGGCAUCAUUAUCUUAUUAUAUAGCAAACAAGAGAACUCCAUCAUCAUCGUUCGGUCUCGCAGGAAACAAAUGAUUUUGUAUUCAACUUAAAAGGCAGAAGCUUUAUCGAUUUAUGCAGAAAAAGAUCUGACCUUUCGGCACUUCUCUUAAAAAAUGUAACUAUCCUAGUUAGAUUUAUGAUUCUUAAAGAUACCAUAUGUUCUCGAAAAAAUUACCUCUCUACCGAGCUUGAGCAGGAGGAGGAGGAUUAGCUUCACGUCUGAUGACAAGAACAUCAAGCUGCCCGAUUCUAUAGGUCUAGACGUCCAAGACGGGAUGAUCGGCACCAAACCCUCCAGCUAUAUAUGCUCGGAUGGAAUUUCCGAAUACUCUAGUUGCGCUGUUUUCUGUAUGCUUCACUAUGAAGGUUUUAUAAGCACCUAACCUCCUUACUGUGAUAUCCAUUCCAUCAUCUCCUUCAAUUGCACGUCUCCUCUGGUCAUUUUGUCUCCAAGCUUUUGCAGUUGGACCGUUAUCGCAGCUAGUUCCCACAUGUAAGUCGUUUUGCAGAGACACGUCGGCUGAGUGGCAUUGGGAGGAACAGGAAAUUCUUGAAAGGGGUAUGGCGGAUUCUCUGCGGGCGGUCUAGUUCUGGGUCUUGCGGCUGUCAUGCUUAUGGACUU
rnacentral:lncRNA from 1 species